CACACGUGUACGUUGUGCAACAGAGUCUGGACUCGACGAUGGUGUCGGGUGAUCGAGCAGCUUUACAACAAAUCAUUUAGGAAAAUGAGGUCAUAAAAUUAAAUAUUUAAUAAAAUAAAGAUCACAAGGAGCCUGAGGAUAUCCCAGGGAACUCAGGGCACAAGCAAGCUCUCCUUUAUCAUACGACAGCUACCAAUCAGGAUGGGUGAAGAUAAACACGUGCUUCCCCCGAGACAUCCAAAUUGACCUGAGGCUGAUGCUUCAGCAGACAACAGAUUUACUGGCAGAUGAAGUCAGGCUGCGAGGAUGCAGAUAUGAUACAGAUGUCCAAAGAGAGAAAGAGAGACAGAGAGAGAGAAAGAGAGAGAGAGAAUUCCAUCCCUCCCUCCCAGCCAGACAGCAUGGCCAGUUUUGCUCUCCUGACCCCCAGCCACAGAUAGUAAUUGAAUCAAUCAAAUUUUCUACGAAAAAAACAAACAAACCAAGAAAUAAAAUACAUGACUUGUCAUUUACUAGUAAAUAUUAUUUGACAAAUUAACACAAAUCUACAUAAUCAUUGACCAUCAUUUACAUUUACACUGGACUCCGACUGACAGAUAGAUAAUACUGAUAUCAGACUGUUCUUGUACUGUAUAUUCUCCCACUAUGACACAUUUUGACUACUAUGUUUACAUUGCUUAAAGAAUAUCAUAGACAAAAAGUGUUGUAGAGUUCCCUGUUGGUCCAGCGCCUAAAGAUCCAGCGCUCUUGGGCAGAGAACUAAUCCAGCCACUGAGGGGUUAAAUCUCAUUGCUGGUCCCAAACCCGGAUAAAAUGGGAGGGUUGCAUCAGGAAGGGCAUAAAACCCAGUGCCAAAAUCAAUUAUGCGGAUUGGAUGGUCUGCUGUGGCAAACCUGAACAGCCGAAGGACAACAAGAAAAAGUAACUGUUGCGCAAGAAUUUCAAGAAUACUCUAGUAGUUACAGCGAUUG